CAGCCGCCGCGGGAAUACGGAGGGCGCGAGCGUUACCCGGAUUUACUGGGCGUAAAGGGCGUGUAGGCGGCCUGGGGCGUCCCAUGUGAAAGGCCACGGCUCAACCGUGGAGGAGCGUGGGAUACGCUCAGUCUAGAGGGUGGGAGAGGGUGGUGGAAUUCCCGGAGUAGCGGUGAAAUGCGCAGAUACCGGGAGGAACGCCGAUGGCGAAGGCAGCCACCUGGUCCACUUCUGACGCUGAGGCGCGAAAGCGUGGGGAGCAAACCGGAUUAGAUACCCCUGUAGUCCCUGUCUCUUAUAU
rnacentral:rRNA from 1 species